rnacentral:rRNA from 1 species
AACGAACGCUGGCGGCGCGCCUAAUACAUGCAAGUCGAGCGAGAAGACGUAGCAAUACGUUUGUAAAGCGGCGAACGGGUGAGGAAUACAUGGGUAACCUACCCUCGAGUGGGGAAUAACUAGCCGAAAGGUUAGCUAAUACCGCGUACGCUCCUUGGACUUCGGUUCAGGGAGGAAAGCGAUACCGUGGGUAUCGCGCUCUUGGAUGGGCUCAUGUCCUAUCAGCUUGUUGGUGAGGUAACGGCUCACCAAGGCUUCGACGGGUAGCUGGUCUGAGAGGACGAUCAGCCACACUGGCACUGCGACACGGGCCAGACUCCUACGGGAGGCAGCAGUAAGGAAUAUUGCGCAAUGGGCGAAAGCCUGACGCAGCGACGCCGCGUGGGGGAUGAAGGUCUUCGGAUUGUAAACCCCUUUUCGGGAGGGAAGAUGGAACGAGCAAUCGUUCGGACGGUACC